UAGCUGGGGGAUGCCUACCAUGCUAGUCGAGCGGUAACAGGGGUAGCUUGCUACCCGCUGACGAGCGGCGGACGGGUGAGUAAUGCAUAGGAAUCUGCCCGAUAGUGGGGGAUAACCUGGGGAAACCCAGGCUAAUACCGCAUACGUCCUACGGGAGAAAGGGGGCUCCGGCUCCCGCUAUUGGAUGAGCCUAUGUCGGAUUAGCUAGUUGGUAAGGUAAUGGCUUACCAAGGCAACGAUCCGUAGCUGGUCUGAGAGGAUGAUCAGCCACAUCGGGACUGAGACACGGCCCGAACUCCUACGGGAGGCAGCAGUGGGGAAUAUUGGACAAUGGGGGCAACCCUGAUCCAGCCAUGCCGCGUGUGUGAAGAAGGCCCUCGGGUUGUAAAGCACUUUCAGCGAGGAAGAACGCCUAUCGGUUAAUACCCGGUAGGAAAGACAUCACUCGCAGAAGAAGCACCGGCUAACUCCGUGCCAGCAGCCGCGGUAAUACGGAGGGUGCAAGCGUUAAUCGGAAUUACUGGGCGUAAAGCGCGCGUAGGUGGCUUGAUAAGCCGGUUGUGAAAGCCCCGGGCUCAACCUGGGAACGGCAUCCGGAACUGUCAGGCUAGAGUGCAGGAGAGGAAGGUAGAAUUCCCGGUGUAGCGGUGAAAUGCGUAGAGAUCGGGAGGAAUACCAGUGGCGAAGGCGGCCUUCUGGACUGACACUGACACUGAGGUGCGAAAGCGUGGGUAGCAAACAGGAUUAGAUACCCUGGUAGUCCACGCCGUAAACGAUGUCGACCAGCCGUUGGGUGCCUAGAGCACUUUGUGGCGAAGUUAACGCGAUAAGUCGACCGCCUGGGGAGUACGGCCGCAAGGUUAAAACUCAAAUGAAUUGACGGGGGCCCGCACAAGCGGUGGAGCAUGUUGGUUUUAUUUCGAUGCAACGCGAAGAAUCUUACCUACCCUUGACAUCUACAGAAGCCGGAAGAGAUUUCUGGUGUGCUUUCGGUAACUGUAGACAGUUGCUGCAUGGCUGUCGUCAGCUCGUGUUGUGAAAUGAUGGGUUAAGUCCCGUAACGAGCGCAACCCUGUCUAAUUUGCCAGCGAGUAAUGUCGGGAAACUCUUAGGAGACUGCCGGGAACAAAUCCGUAGUAAGUUGGAACGACGUCAGGUCAUCAUGGUCUUACGGUAGCUAACACUCGUUCCUAACAAUGGCUGGUACUAAAGGCUGGCGCAUAUCUCUACGCGUAG
rnacentral:rRNA from 1 species